GGCGCUAUGGCUGAGUGGUUAAAGCGAUAGACUAGAACUUCAUCCGAGACGGGGGAGCAUGGCAUCUAUUCCGGUUUCCGGGCGCAGGUUCGAAUCCUGCUGGCGUCG